CCUACGGGAGGCAGCAGUGAGGAAUAUUGGUCAAUGGGCGAGAGCCUGAACCAGCCAAGUCGCGUGAAGGAUGACGGAUCUAUGGUUUGUAAACUUCUUUUAUAUGGGAAUAAAGUGAGGAACGUGUUCCUUUUUGUAUGUACCAUAUGAAUAAGCAUCGGCUAACUCCGUGCCAGCAGCCGCGGUAAUACGGAGGAUGCGAGCGUUAUCCGGAUUUAUUGGGUUUAAAGGGUGCGUAGGUGGUUAAUUAAGUCAGCGGUGAAAGUUUGUGGCUCAACCAUAAAAUUGCCGUUGAUACUGGUUGACUUGAGUACAUUUGAGGUAGGCGGAAUGCGUGGUGUAGCGGUGAAAUGCAUAGAUAUCACGAAGAACUCCGAUUGCGAAGGCAGCUUACUAAACUAUAACUGACACUGAAGCACGAAAGUGUGGGUAUCAAACAGGAUUAGAUACCCCAGUAGUC
rnacentral:rRNA from 1 species